GGUUAUGGCUCAGCGGUAGAGUACUCACCUAGCAUGUGUGAGGCCCUGGGUUCGAUCCUCAGCACCA
rnacentral:tRNA from 1 species